GGCAGUACGUACAAAGGUAGCCACAUGAUUCUUCGUGUUCGUCUUAUACUAAAAAAAGUAUAAAAUUUACAUUUCCACAGACAGAUGAGAACAUCGAUAUGGCAAUAUGUUUGCUUCCACAGAAGUGGGGGUGCACGUGUCCCGGAGGGGCACCUAUUUGGUCGACACGUGUACGACCUUGACUUUGACCUCGUCCACGAGACACCUACCCCCAGAGACAGAGGGUCGAUGCAUCUACCUCGAAAAGCGUCGCCUCUUUUUUUUCAUCAUAUUUUUUUCUCAGAAGAAGGAUCACUACUUUUGCGAAGAUUCCAUAGUCAGAGAGGGGAGCAUAUAUAUUGUUUCAUAGAUAGAGAUAAUAUGAUUUGAAGAAAUGAUUGUCACUACUACGUGUAUAAGAUUCGCACUGGUCAGCUAAAAAUAUACACAUAUGUACACAUAUAUAAUAAAGAUUUUUUAGAAUUUCAUUUCUUAGAUAGAAUAAUCUGGAAAUGAUCGAAUAAGAUAAGAACUCUAUUAUCUUUAUUAUUAAAUUAUUUCGAUAUACUUGAAUAGUGAUUAUUUUAUUUCUCUAUCUUGAAAAAUAAUAAUUCUAUAAAUAUAACAAUGUAGUUAGUAAUGUAUAGUAUAGUAGUAAAUAUAGUAGUAAUGUAAUUUGAAAUAAAAAAAUUAGUAA